UACUUGUGGAAACUGCGUCGUGGAAGAGAUGUGGGAAAAUCGUUCCUGUUGUCAAGAAGCGUUACAGGUAUACAGCCUAUCAGCAAUUUGUACGUUGGUGCUGUGGUUAUCUUGGCAAAGACAGGCGAGUGCUGAUGUCGUGUAAUGAAGUCCAUACGCUGUAUUUCCUGAACCCAGUGCCAACUACACAGAGUUUAAAUAUCCUCCCCAGACAGGUGAAUUUUAGCUUCUCCUUUGACCAGAGGCUCCUCAUGCUGUAGCUAUGUUAAUGUAUUGCCAGUAUGAAUUAUUAUGUCUGUGUUAAAUUAAUUUUAUCUAUUAAAAUUGUAUAUUUUAACAAUAAUUUAUUUUUGGUUAAUUACAAUGCAAUUCAGCUAUAUAAUAUAGAAUGCCCUGAAAUUGAGGUGUUUUUUGUUCAUAAAUAGGCCUAUACAAUCUGCGUAUCAUUCACUAUGGUUAUAAAAUAGACUAUGUAAAGCAUAAUUCCAAUAACUUAUGAAUUACAGAGCAAACAAUACAGUGUAAGAUGUAAAAUUGUAUGAUUCAAUUUUCCUGACGAUACUAGGCACCUAUUUAUUAACAAAAUUAAGGCAUUACACUAUACCAGGUUUUGUGUGCUUCGUAAUAGCAUAUUUAUUUUAGUAAUACAGUAUGUCCAACAACCUUAAAAACAAUAUGCAUGUCUUCUUUUUUUUUAAUGUAAGUAGUAUUACUACUGUACUAUAUACUGUAUAAUUGCAAUUCAAUUAAAAUCAUUUACAAUUUGAUUAAUGAAAUACUUGUUUGAUUACUAUUGCAGUAUUCAUGCUACAAGAGACUCUCAUGAUAUUAUUUAACACUGACGAACUCUUAUUAUUUUUUCACAAAAUGGGACAACCUUUGCUAAGUACUGAAACAAAGUGAAGACACUUUCCACUAAUUUACAGUUAGAUUAUGAUUGCAGUAUUCAUGCUAAAUCAUGCUUUAUUAUCAUUAAAUGUAAAGAUUAGUACAUGUAAUAAUAAAUAUAAUUGUUAUCCAAUUUAACUUGUUUAAAAAAUUAUUAAUGGUAAGUGCUUGUUUAUUGAACUAACAGUAUUAUCAUUUCAAAAAACCCUUAUAUAUGAAUUAUCUUAGUAAAUAACAUAAUUGGUUAUAUAAAAUUAUUUUCCAUGAUUUUUUUCUACACAAAUUCAACACAUCAGAAUGCAAUUUAGUCACCAGAAACUAUCUUUUGUUCUCUUUC
rnacentral:lncRNA from 1 species